GGUGAGUAAUGCUUAGGAAUCUGCCUAUUAGUGGGGGACAACAUUCCGAAAGGAAUGCUAAUACCGCAUACGUCCUACGGGAGAAAGCAGGGGACCUUCGGGCCUUGCGCUAAUAGAUGAGCCUAAGUCGGAUUAGCUAGUUGGUGGGGUAAAGGCCUACCAAGGCGACGAUCUGUAGCGGGUCUGAGAGGAUGAUCCGCCACACUGGAACUGAGACACGGUCCAGACUCCUACGGGAGGCAGCAGUGGGGAAUAUUGCACAAUGGGCGCAAGCCUGAUGCAGCCAUGCCGCGUGUAUGAAGAAGGCCUUCGGGUUGUAAAGUACUUUCAGCGGGGAGGAAGGGAGUAAAGUUAAUACCUUUGCUCAUUGACGUUACCCGCAGAAGAAGCACCGGCUAACUCUGUGCCAGCAGCCGCGGUAAUACAGAGGGUGCGAGCGUUAAUCGGAUUUACUGGGCGUAAAGCGUGCGUAGGCGGCUUUUUAAGUCGGAUGUGAAAUCCCUGAGCUUAACUUAGGAAUUGCAUUCGAUACUGGGAAGCUAGAGUAUGGGAGAGGAUGGUAGAAUUCCAGGUGUAGCGGUGAAAUGCGUAGAGAUCUGGAGGAAUACCGAUGGCGAAGGCAGCCAUCUGGCCUAAUACUGACGCUGAGGUACGAAAGCAUGGGGAGCAAACAGGAUUAGAUACCCUGGUAGUCCAUGCCGUAAACGAUGUCUACUAGCCGUUGGGGCCUUUGAGGCUUUAGUGGCGCAGCUAACGCGAUAAGUAGACCGCCUGGGGAGUACGGUCGCAAGACUAAAACUCAAAUGAAUUGACGGGGGCCCGCACAAGCGGUGGAGCAUGUGGUUUAAUUCGAUGCAACGCGAAGAACCUUACCUGGCCUUGACAUACUAGAAACUUUCCAGAGAUGGAUUGGUGCCUUCGGGAAUCUAGAUACAGGUGCUGCAUGGCUGUCGUCAGCUCGUGUCGUGAGAUGUUGGGUUAAGUCCCGCAACGAGCGCAACCCUUUUCCUUACUUGCCAGCAUUUCGGAUGGGAACUUUAAGGAUACUGCCAGUGACAAACUGGAGGAAGGCGGGGACGACGUCAAGUCAUCAUGGCCCUUACGGCCAGGGCUACACACGUGCUACAAUGGUCGGUACAAAGGGUUGCUACCUAGCGAUAGGAUGCUAAUCUCAAAAAGCCGAUCGUAGUCCGGAUUGGAGUCUGCAACUCGACUCCAUGAAGUCGGAAUCGCUAGUAAUCGCGGAUCAGAAUGCCGCGGUGAAUACGUUCCCGGGCCUUGUACACACCGCC
rnacentral:rRNA from 1 species